AUGAAGCGCUUCGGAAGUCUCCGGAGCAGCAGGAAACCCAAAGACCAAAACCGGAGCACCCAGAGGCGCCAGUCGGAGCCCCACGGCCUGUUCGCCUCAAGCGUCUCCUCUUCCCCGUCCACUCCCACCCAAGUGACCAAGCAGCACACGUUUCCUCUCGAGUCCUACAAGCAGGAGCCCGAGCGCCUGGAAAAUCGCAUCUAUGCCUCCUCGCCCCCGGACACUGGCCAGCGCUUCUGCCUGGGCUUCCAGAGCCCAGCCAGGCUACCGCUGGCCUCCCCCACGCACCAUGCUGCACCCAAGACCGUAAGUCUGAGCCCUCGUCCCGGGUAGGGCUGGGCAAUGGGGGGGAGGGGCUGCUUCCACACUGUUCUGUCUCAGUGCAAGGCUGGUGUGGUUUAUUUUAUCAUAAAUCACAGACCAAGGACAAAUGGCGAGGGUGUGGAGGGCAGGCAGCAAUCAUAGGAAAUACUUCGGGAUGGGCCCCAUCAUAAAAGUUUUCUGCUCCUCCUUGUUUUUAUUUAUUUUUUCAUUACUGGGAUUGAACCCAGGGCCUACGCACUGAACUGCAUCCCCAACCUUCUUUAUUUUUAGAUAGGGUCUCACUCAGUCACUAAGUUGCCCAGGCUGGGCCUGAACUUGUGAUCCUCCUGCCUCAGCCCGGACUGAGUGCUGGUACUAUAGGCAUUUGCCACCACACUGGGCUCAUUCAUCCUUCUCCUUAAAAAUCAUCCUUUGAAAGCUUUGUUUGAAUUUACCCUGAUCAUUAGAAGUAAAAUGUCACAGGCAAAGGACAAGAGGAACAGAGUUUUAAGAUUUAAAUCCAACAUUGUGUGACUUGGGGUAUAUUCCUAGAAAGGACAGCCUUGUUUUGUUUUGUUUGGGACAGGGUCUCACUGUGUAGUUUAUGCUGGCCUUGAAUUCACUAAGAAACCCAAGCUGGCCUUAAACUUGCUUCAGUGCUCCUGCCUCAGCCUCCCGUUGCAGGAUUACAAGUGAGCAUCACCACGCCCAGCUGAGGGCAGCCUUUCACAAUGGAGUAGGCUCACAGGUGUCUUUGAGGCCUUCAGUGGAUUGGCUGGGAAGGACCAGGACAUGGUGAUGGAGGAAGCUGGCUUUGCCACACUCCUGUGCACUCUCCACUCCAAUACAGAGGUCCCCGAGACCCCACCCAUCAUAGCUUCUUCAGUCCCGGGGAUGUGCUGCCAGGACCAGUAAGGGUGUGCCCAGCAAGGGUGUAAGAAUCAUGUCAUUAAUGCUCCCUACACAGAUGGGACCGUUUCAUUCAGUUGUCAUGCUAAGGGGUUGCUAGAACAAUGCAUCUUCAUUCUGCAUCCCUGUGUAGCCACAGGGAAUUGGUCUGAGGACCCCUGGGAGUACCAAAGUCCUCUGAUGUUCAAUUUCAUUUUCUAAGAUGGUGCAGUAUUUGUACAAUGCCUACAUACAUCUUCCCAAAUGCUUCACCCCAUCACCAGAUUACUUAGAAUACUGCAUCCAAUGUCCUUGAGCUGUGCAAAUUGUCAUUAAUAUUGCUUAGGGAGCAAAGACAAGAACAGUACUUAUUCAGGACAGAUAACAGUUUUUCU
rnacentral:lncRNA from 1 species